rfam:Rhizoclosmatium globosum strain JEL800 BCR33scaffold_41, whole genome shotgun sequence.
GGACUGAUAGCUCAGUGGUAGAGCGUAGGACUGCAAAUCCCGAGGUCGCGGGAUCAACCCCCGCUCGGUCCU